CAUUUGUUUUUAACGGUCCCUCCACAGCCAGCAGUUUCCAAUAUGGCAAAGUCCGCACAGACCGUGAAAUACGACUGGUCCUUGGAAAUGAAUCCUGAUGCGCUUUGAGAUCCACGCAGAUGGGUGUUCGCCAAGCUGCGAGUGUAAAGUUGUCGGGAGCCCCUGAAAACCCUUCACAAGCGCCGAGGCUCAGCUGUGGAACUCCAAAAGAAACUCCAGAAGAGGCUGGGAGCAGAGCCCAGGAGGCCUCUGGAGUGGCUGCAGUGCUCAGACUGUAAAGUGCCAAGAGGGGAUUCAUGGAAACCUCUCCCAUAGGAUGCAGGGUCCUUCACCCUCUGUCUCAUGCUUUCCUGCCAUACUGAACUGCCAGCUUCCUGCUUGUUGCCAGCCCCUCCCAGUCAGAAUUCCCACCAGGCCCCCUUCCCUGGGCCAGCCAUGACCAGAGAAGGAAAGGUAUCCUGGCUCUGCUCCAGGGGGCCUUGGCCUCCAACCUGAGAGCCUGGGAGAAAUAAGCUGGAACUUUUGAGUCUGACUUUCUAUGCUGGGUCAGCCCUGCCCUGGAGCAGUGGGGUUUGUCCCGCACUUUGCCCACCCUGAAUUCUCCAUCUCUGGGCUGGGAGGUGAGGUCUCACCUUGAACCCAACCUGAAGGAGUGGCUGUGUCUCUGGCAUUCACUCUUGCAGGCUCAGGGACUGUCCCAAAUGGUCAGGAAACCGAUGUCUCUCAUCUGCCUGGGAAUCCGGUGUUCAAGAACACAGGCUUAAACCAAGUAGAGCAAGGCAGAAAGGUGUUCAAAUUCAUCUCUGGCACAUCCUGGCCAUGUGACAUCAGAAAAUCAAUUUACCUCUGUGUGCCUUGGUUUGCCUAUCUGGAAAAUGGGUAUAAUAAUGAUAAUUCCCCCAUCUCCACUGCUACCCAUCCCUCUGGCUCACAGUGCUGAGGGCUAUGGCCCAGACCAGGGUGGGGGUAGUAGGAGAAGCCAGGGAGGGAGAGAGCUCUCUGGAGCUCUAAAUGUAUUGGGGACCAAGACAUCUGCUUUGACUCAAAGCCCAGGGUGGCAGAGGUGCCCCACACAGGCUGGUUGCAGCUGCAGUCCCCCUGCUGUCUCCUCUAG
ensembl:lncRNA